AAAGUUUUACAAAAACAUAAUUUUCCACAUUUGUUAAUUUCUGUUUUUGUAGUUUCCAUUCGAGGAAAAAGAUUUUUCCCCAAAACGCAAGUCUCCGGCGAUUGUGGUGACCAUUUACGGUUGUUCGUCAAGGAAGCUCGCUGCUGUUCGUUUCAUAUGGUAUCUUUGGUCAAUCUGGGAUGUUAGCCACGUUUUUUUUCCGCAAACGCAUUCUGAUUUCACUGGACAAUGGAGAUUCAAAGAGAGGCAAGUGAUAUGAAAAUUUCAAAUGCUGAGACUGCUCCAGAUCAAACAAAGAAGGCUUUUGAUUUGGAAUAUGCAUUCACAACCAGGUCCUCUGUAUACUUUCUCCAUUCUAGUGAUAUUCCUUCAAAUAAAAUUGUUAGUGACCUACUUAAGGGUCAAACAAAUUAUCCUACCUGGUCCAAAGAUAUGAUGCUUUGGUCAGUGACCAGGAGGAAGCAAAAGUUUAUUAAUGGUAAGGUUUUCCGGCCAAAGGAUGAAAACUCAGAGGAGUUUGAGACUUGGGAAGCAGUAAAUGGAGUGGUUUUUUCAUGGAUCAUAAAUGCAUGCGAAAAAAAUGUUGCAGCAUCAAUUAGGUCAGCUGAGAGUGCCUAUGAAGGCUGGGAAAUUUUAAAAAUUAGAUACAGCCAAUGACAGGUACCCUUAAGAUUUCAAAUUGGCCAAGAAUUGACCAAUUUAUUCCGGAGAAAUGACAGUUAGUGAUUACUAUAUCCAACUGAAAUUUGCAUGGGAUGCUUUGAAUGAUAUAAGCAAGAAAAAAAGGUGUACAUGUGGGGUAUGUACAUGUGGAGCAAUACAAAUUUGGGAAGAAGAAAUAGAACAAGAUAAGGUAGUUAAAUUUCUUCUAGGAUUGAAUGAGGAAUUUUUAAACAUAAUGAGUCAAAUAUUGGCUGCAAAAGAAAUUCCUAGCAUGGACUCUGCAUUCUCCACUGUCAUCACAGAUGAAAAACAAAGAGGGGUGACUAUAAAAAAAUAUACUUCUGAAAGUCUUAGAAUAGACAAUGCUAUGGCAGUUAGGAAGGUCUCUAACAUUAGAAGUAAAUCCUUCAACUCUGAAAAAUACAAGUUUAGCAAAAAAGGGGCUAAACUGAAUUUAAAAAUUAGGUGUGACCAUUGUUGGUUCUUUGGGCACACCAAAGAUAAUUGUUUUCAUUUAAAUGGAUACCUUGCUGAUAAAGAUAGAUUUAAGAGUUCUUCUUUUAAGAAAUACAAAACAGACCAUGCUAGUUCUGCCACAACUCAUACAAUUACAGAUGAGGAGUUCAAAGUCAUGCAAAACCUGUUUAUGAAAAAUUCAGGUAUUUCUUUUAAUAAAAUUAAAACUGAUUUAGCUUGUUUUUCAAAUGCAUAUUCAAAUGAUAAAUGGAUUUGUGAUAGUGGUGCUUCACAACACAUGAGUGGUAAUAAAUCACUCUUUAUUAACCUAAGAUCUUCUAAUAAUUUUAGAAGAGUUGUAAUUCCAAAUGGAUUUUUUUUUGAAAUUAAACAAAUAGAAGAAAUUAUGCUUUCACCAACAAUAACUCUAAAAAUGUAUACUACAUUUCUGAUUUUAAACUAAAUUUGAUUUCUCUACACAGAAUUAUAGAAGAUAUGGGUGUAUGGAUUUUUUUAAAUAAAACACAUUGCCUUUUUCAGGAUCCUCACAGCAAGGAUCUGAUUGGACAGGGUAGUGCUCAAAAUGGAGUAUAUGUCUUUGACAAAGAAGCUAUUUGUUGCAUUGCUCAAGACAUUAAACUUUGGCAUGCUAAGAUGGGUCACAUUUCUACAAUAAAGAUCUCAUUUCUCUAUGUGACAUUUGUCCACUUGCCAAACAACAAAAAUUAUCAUACCCAAAAAGUAUAUCACAAAGCGAAAAAUGUUUUGAUCUUAUACAUGUUGAUAUUUGGGGCAAAUUCCCAAUAUCAACAUUUGAUCAAAAUUUUAUUUUUUAACUAUAGUAGAAGAUAAAAGUAGAACUACUUGGAUAUACUUAAUGAAAGACAAAACUCAAGUUUUUCAAAUAAUUGAUUUUUACAUUAAAAUGGUUAAAACACAAUUCAACACAAAUAUUAAAACUCUAAGGAGUGACAAUGGUUUAGAAUUUACAUCUUCUAAACUUAACACUUUACUAAAAGAAAAUGGUAUAAUCCAUCAAUUUUCUUGUCCUUAUUCUCCUCAAUAAAAUAGUAAAGUUAAAAGAAAACAUAAGGGCUUAUUAAACAUUGUUAGGGCAAUUAAAUUACAAGCUGCCCUCCCAAUGAAAUAUUGGGGUUUUUGUGUUCUAGGAGCAACACACAUAAUCAAUAGAACAUGUUCUAAAUCUUUAGAAGAUAAAACACCUUUUGAAAUCCUAAAUAAUAAACAACCCAAUAUCAUGCUAACUAAGACCAUUAGGUGUCUUUAUUAUUAUGAUAAUGUCAACAGAAAACACAAAUUUUCUGUAAGAGCAAAAAGGGGUGUUUUUUUAGGAUAUCCACAAGGUACUAAGGGAUAUACAAUUUUAGACAUUGAGUCUCAAAAAAUUGUAAUAAGUAGAAAUGUCAUUUUCAAGGAAAUGGUGUUUCCCUUUAAAUCCAUUAAAGAAAUUUUCUUAAAAGAAAACAAAAAUAAAAGCAUUUUUGAUGAAUUCAUCCUAAAAAUAUAUGAAAACAAUCAUAACAUGAAUAAUCAGAUUUUAAAUAAAUCUUUUGAUGAAAAGGAUGAUAAACAAAAGGAGAUAUUAGACAAUAAUCUAAUGUCAUCUAAAAAUAAUAAUAAAAAAUUUAAACUAGUUUUGGAUAAUGAAAUUGCAUCCAAACAGAAAUUAUCUAAAGAUAAUUCUUUAAAAUAUAUAUCAUCAAAUACUGAAAAUAAAAUGCCAAAUAAGGCAAGGAUCAAUGAGGAUACUAUAAUAGUAUCAAACAGCAAUGAAACACCUCUUGGGUCAAUAAACCCAAGUAAAAAAUUCAUAAACGACAAUAACACCUUCCUUGGAUUAUCAAACCCAAGUGAAGAUGUUAUAACAGUUUCAAAUAAUGAAAAUACCUCCCCUGGACCACUAAAUCCAGAAAAUAAAAACACAUUUUCAGAUAGAAAUGAAAUCUCCCCUGGUCCAAUAAAUUUAGAAAAUGAAAACUCAUUUUCAGACAUGAAUAACACUACCCCUGGGUCAAUAAAUUCAGGAGAAAAUGAAGAACCAUUUUCAGAUAAAAACAACACCUCCCCUGGGCCACUAAGCUCAGGAGAAAAUGGAAAUUCAUCCUCAAACAGGAGUAAAACUAUUUCAAACUCAGAUAAGAAUUUGCAGAAUAAUAAUAUAAGUGUAUCAAAUGAUAUAAUGAUUGAAUUAGCGUCUCAAAAUGAGAUGCAAUCAAAUAAAGUAAAUUUUGAUCAAACAACAAAUAAUAUAGAAUGCAAAAGAUCAAAUAGAAUUCAAUCUUCCUUUAAAAAUAAAGAUUUUUACUAUAUGGAUGAUAGUGAUUAUGAUAGUGCUAAUUUUAGCACUAAUCAUCCAUUAAACAAAUAUAUAUCAUAUAAAAAGAUAAAUAAAAAGAAAAAAGAAUACUUAAGAAAAAUAUCUAUGAGUAAUGAACCUCAUAGUUAUGUAGAAGCUUCAAAAAACCCAAAUUGGGUAGAAGCCAUGGAAAAAGAGAUGCAAGCCUUAAUAUUGAAUAAAACAUGGGACUUAGUAUCUUUUCCACCUACAAGAAAACCCAUUGGAUCUAAAUGGGUUUUUAAAAUUAAAUAUAACAAAAAUGGAGAGAUAGAUAGAUACAAAGCUAGAUUAGUAGCUCAACGAUUCUCCCAAGUAGAGGGUUUUGAUUAUUACCAUACCUUUGCCCCAGUGGCAAAAAUAACAACUAUUAGAAUACUAAUCACAGUGACUACUAAUAAAAAAUGGAAUUUAUACCAAAUUGAUGUAAAUAAUGCAUUUUUAUAUGGUGAUCUGAAUGAGGAUAUAUAUAUGAAACCUCCACCUGGUUUAAAAAAAAAGGAAGACUAGAGGGUAUGCAAAUUAAAAAAGUCCUUAUAUGGAGUCAAAUAAGCUUCUAGGCAAUGGUUAAUUUGCCAAGCUAAUUAAAGAUACUUUACUGAAAAUGAAUUUUAACAAUCAUUUUCAGAUUAAUCUCUUUUCAUCAAAAAAUCUAAUGACUUUGUUUUAUACUUGGUAAUAUUUGUGGAUGAUAUUGUUAUUAUAGGGAAUAAUGAGAAAGAAAUAGAACUAUUAAAAAGAAAUCUAAAAACAUACUUUAAUCUAAAAGACCUAGGAAAACUUCAUUAUUUUCUAAGGAUUGAAGUGUCAUAUUCAGAUCAUGGGAUCUUUCUAUCCCAAAGAAAAUAUACUCUAGACAUCCUAAAUGAAAAUGGACUUCUAGGUAGUAAACCAUCUAAAAUUCCUAUUGAAAAACAAGAUUGGAGAAAAGAUGAAUCAAAACCAUUAAAAGAUGCUUUUAAAUACAGAAGGCUAAUUGGAAAAUUAAUAUACUUAAAUACAACAAGACCUGAUAUUACAUUUGCUGUCAGGACUUUAAGCCAGUUUAUGGAAAAAUCAACAGAAUUACAUAUGGAUGUUGUUUCUAAAAUUUUAAGAUAUUUAAAGAAAUCUCCAGGACAAGGAAUCAUGAUAACUAAUAAUAAACCUCUCAUAUUAAGAGGAUAUUGUGAUGUUGAUUGGGGUUCAUGCACCCUAACCAAAAGAUCAGUUAAAGGAUUUUGUAUAACUCUAGGAGAUUCUUUGAUUUCAUGAAAAUCUAAGAAGCAAGAGUUGGUCUCUCAGUCAUCAGCAGAAGCUGAAUACAGAGCAAUGGCUAAACUUGCAAGUGAGAUUACAUGGAUAAAUCAAUUGUUAAAUGAACUAAGAGUUUAUCAUACUAAAUCAAUCCCAAUCUUUUGUGAUAACAUAGCUGCUAUACAUAUAGCAGAAAAUCCUGUGUUUCACGAAAGAACUAAACAUAUUGAAAGAGAUUGUCAUUUUACAAGAGAAAAAUUAGAAAAAGGAUUGAUUAGUUUAAAUUCAAUUGGUACUAAUGAUCAAUUAGCAAAUAUAUUCACCAAAGGAGUUGGUGAAAUAGAAAUGAAUAAUACUCUAUUCAAACUAGGAAUAAUUGAUAUAUAUGCCUAGUUUGAGGGGCGAGUAUUAGUAUUAACAUUUCUUAAUUAAACAUUGUGUUGUAUUAGUAUUAAUCAGCAUUAGCACUUAUUAAUGAAUUGUGUUGUAUGUAUUGUAUUAUUUCAUCACAGGUUAAUGGACCUAUUUCAUCCCAACGUUUACACUAGCCCAAGAAGGGAAAUAAAGAAAUAAAAAGCUGGAAGGACUUAGUUGUAAUAUAUUAAAAUUGAGUCCUGUAAUUGUAAUAGUUACAUUUUCUAUUAUAAAACUAAAAUGUAAACGAUGGGUUAUAAUUCAAUACAUUCUAAAAUUUUACAAAAACAUAAUUUUCCACA
rnacentral:lncRNA from 1 species